rnacentral:rRNA from 1 species
UACAGAGGUCCCAAGCGUUGUUCGGAUUCACUGGGCGUAAAGGGUGCGUAGGUGGCGAGGUAAGUUUGAUGUGAAAUCUCCGGGCUUAACCCGGAAACUGCAUUGAAUACUAUCUUGCUUGAGGGUUGGAGGGGGGACUGGAAUUCUCGGUGUAGCAGUGAAAUGCGUAGAUAUCGAGAGGAACACCAGUGGCGAAGGCGAGUCCCUGGACAACUCCUGACACUGAGGCACGAAAGCUAGGGGAGCAAACAGG